rnacentral:rRNA from 1 species
AUGCCAUUCCACCCAGAAUGCGUCCCAUCUCUUCUGAAUUCAGAAGCUAAGUAGGGCUGGCCCUCUUAGUACUUGGAUGGGAAAAAAUGAUUUCUGAAUCAAACAUUUCACUCAUGAGAAGCGAGAGGUCAGUAUC